rnacentral:rRNA from 1 species
UACGUAGGGAGCGAGCGUUGUCCGGAUUCAUUGGGCGUAAAGAGCUCGUAGGCGGCUUGAUUAGUCGGAUGUGAAACCUCCAGGCUCAACCUGGAGUCGCCAUCCGAUACUGUCAUGGCUAGAGUCCGGUAGGGACCCACGGAAUUCCUGGUGUAGCGGUGAAAUGCGCAGAUAUCAGGAGGAACACCGGUGGCGAAGGCGGUGGGCUGGGCCGGCACUGACGCUGAGGAGCGAAAGCGUGGGGAGCGAACAGG